rnacentral:rRNA from 1 species
CCUACGGGAGGCAGCAGUGGGGAAUAUUGGGCAAUGGGCGCAAGCCUGACCCAGCAACGCCGCGUGAAGGAAGAAGGCUUUCGGGUUGUAAACUUCUUUUGUCAGGGAAGAGUAGAAGACGGUACCUGACGAAUAAGCCACGACUAACUACGUGCCAGCAGCCGCGGUAAUACGUAGGUGGCAAGCGUUGUCCGGAUUUACUGGGUGUAAAGGGCGUGUAGCCGGGUUGACAAGUCAGAUGUGAAAUCCUGCGGCUUAACCGCAGAACUGCAUUUGAAACUGUUGAUCUUGAGUACUGGAGAGGCAGACGGAAUUGCUAGUGUAGCGGUGAAAUGCGUAGAUAUUAGGAGGAACACCAGUGGCGAAGGCGGUCUGCUGGACAGCAACUGACGGUGAGGCGCGAAAGCGUGGGGAGCAAACAGGAUUAGAUACCCCAGUC